rnacentral:lncRNA from 1 species
AUGUUUAAUCCUAGCUUGAUAUUUCCUUCUCCUUUAUACAGGUACUUAGAAAAAGACCGUAAGCACAAAGAACAGAAUGCCUUUGAGAAAACAGGAUUUCAUGUGUACCCAGCCACUCAUUCCUGUAAUAGGAAGUAUUCUGUAUCUCUUACAGGUAGUCCAGGGUAUUUGGCAGACAGUCUUUCUGAUGUUUCUGAAGUAGAAACAGUAACGGUAGCAGCUCAGCAGAGACAGGAUGAAAAAUUCAUCUUGUGCUACCAUAAGCACGUGGUUGACCAUAGUUCAAUAUUAAAGUGUGGCUGUCUUACUACAUCAGCAUUUCAUAAACCAGCAUUAAGCAGAAUUUAAAGAAUCUGGCCCAGAAAAUAGCAUCAGUAGAGUACUUUGGUUAUCUGGCAUUACAUCACUUUAGAGAGUCAAAGCAUCUGGUGGUAUCAGCUCUUGCCAGCUGAGCUGGCCAAAGGAGUAAAAGUCCUGUGAGUACAGAACAGGUACAUGGAAUAGUUGUGGGUUUUUAAGAAAUUAGGUGAUUAUGGCAGUAGCUUGUGUUAUUUGACUAUUAUUUCUUGCCUUGCUACAAACUUUUGAUAUGUCUUGCAUAAUCUUGGUCACUCAGUCCCCCUCGUUAAAAUGAGGCUAAUAACUCUUCUUCAUUUUACUCAUCAUAGGAAAAAGAAAUCUAGUGAGUACUGUGGCCACUUAAAAUGUGUGUGUAUGAGGACAAUGCAGACACUAAGUACUUC